rnacentral:lncRNA from 1 species
UUCAGCCCCAUUUCAAUCCUUUUGUAUUCCUCUUCUUCAUCAACUAUUUUUCCAUUGUUUUCUUCCCCACCUGGUUUCAGUAACGCUUCAGCAAUACACCUUGCUAGAACAACCCCAUCUUCCAAAGCUGCACAUCCACCUUGCCCAAGGUCUGGUGUCAUGGGAUGAAGGGCAUCACCAGCUACACAAACGUUGCCUUUGCUUAUAUUGCCCCAUAGAAGCUCCCAAGGUCUUCUGUAUCUUAACGGGGAUGAUGCAAUGGCAUCUAGCUCAGUUUUUCCUACAACAGAUUUCAUCUCAUUGGGUAUAUCUUCAAGCUUGCUCAUUACAAAUUGCUUCAGUUUAACUGGGUCGUCUUCUAAUUCUUCAUCUAAAAAGUAUAACAGUAGAAUUUUAGGGAAGAUGGUACUCGAUUUAAGCACAAACAGGGAAAAAGGGUGGGGGUUAGGUACCUUUGGUGGAUGGAAUCCAAGUCAAAAACCAAUAAACAUUCUCAUCAUUACAAGGGAGGAAGCCUGAUCGAAGACCCUUGCCAAGGAACUGCCUGAAUUUUAGUCCAAAGCCAUGGCCACCUUUGAAAUUUGCGGAACCCCUAAUUGCUGAUCGACCUGUGAAUACAGGCUUGUCGAAACCAAGCCAUUUUGCCACCACUGAGUUCACUCCAUCACAUCCAAUCAAUACCUGUUAUCAUUUACAAUCAAGAAUUGAACUCUUGAACAAUAAAUUAUGGUUUUCUUGAAAAUUAUACACAAUUAACCCGAUUUUACCUUAGUUUUGAGGAUGGUUCCAUCAGACAGAUGCAGUCGUUUGAAGAAGCCAGAUUCGUCAAUGGAAACCACUUUAGAAGAGAACCUGAUGGUAUCGCUGGGGAGUUCCUUUGCUAAAGUUUCCAACAACAAUCUCCUUUGAAGACACCGAAUUUCAUGACCCUUAUAUGAUAUCUCUGAAGCUGGCUGGUCUAAAAAUGUAGAGGCAACGAGUAUGCUGCACUCAUAUUCAACCACCAUCGACGUCAGUUUAUAGCAAAAUGAAGCUUGGGACUUCAAAAACAAGGUUCAAUGUAGUUAAAUACAGUACCUUGGCGUAAGGUAAUGUUGAUGCCGAAGAGAUUCACCGAUGCCAACAGCAUCCAAGGCUUUCCAGGCAUUGCUCCAUGUCGUGAACGCAAAGCCAGUGAUCCUUAACUCGUCUGAUGAUUCCAAUACUAAACUACGAAUUCCAAGCCUGUAAGAGUUUAGAUUUAGAACCAGUUACUGCUAUGUAUUUACAUUUAGAGAUUCUGAAUUUUAAGCUAAUAUGAUCGUAUGGAAGAACUGUUGGUGCGGGUUGAUGUACCUGUGAAGUCCCAAGGAUGUGGUCAGACCAGCAAUUCCAGCUCCCACAAUCACAACGUCUUCAACUAUUUCCAUCACCACGCUUUUGAUUUACAGAGGCUAAAACUAUAGUUGCAAAAUGCUCUUUAUUCUUGACAAGUCUGGUGAGCAAAUGAUGGUGUGGGGAAUCCAGAUCCAGGCGCAAUUCUAUAUAUAAUAUUUAGUCAAUUUUGUGUGGUCUGGUCAGAAAAUGGCCGUCAGCAGAUUAAACUUAGUCCGCAAGUUUGACUUGUAUCCUGUGGUCUUUCUUCGACAAGCUCUGCCAUUCCCACGUUUCCUUUCUUUUUCAAUGAUAUUUUAAGAAUACUCUCCUUUACUCAAAUACAAAGAUUCCUUCAAUAUUUGUAUGUAAAAUUUUAUAAUCUUGGAGCCAAAAACAUUUCAGUACAAGGGAAUUUAACGUUCGUAAUUAUAAUAUCAUCAUUUGACUGAAAAUUAGGUCAAAUGUAUUUUUGCGAAAGCCUGUGUCAGAAUCAUUGUUUGAGCUCAAAUAGUUUGUAUUCAUCAGCUUCAACUUGUAGGGAAGCAAUGGGGAUAAUAUUUUAUUUGUUAUAUACUAAAGUAUUUAAUAAGUUUUUUUAUUGUAUUCUGACAUCUAUCCAAGAAUGUAGAUGUCAUCUAGAGGCUUCCAGGUUAAAAUACAUUAUCUUAAAGCAAACAAAGAAUAAUAACAAGACCUAAAUUUAAAAUUUGAUAAAAAUGCUCAAUUCAACUGGGUCCGAAUUGAGAGCAAAAAGUAGCCAAGUAAGGCCUGCCGAUGAGGCAAAUGAAGUGUUUACUACCGCAGCAGGUAUCACUUGGCGGCCAAGAAAUGAUUAAAAUGUAACAUUAAAAAAGUUUCAAUGAGACUAAUUUUAAAAGGUGGACGUUUUAAUCAAGAUUGUAUGGCCAUAGGUAGGAAAUUUNNNNNNNNNNNNNNNNNNNNNNNNNNNNNNNNNNNNNNNNNNNNNNNNNNNNNNNNNNNNNNNNNNNNNNNNNNNNNNNNNNNNNNNNNNNNNNNNNNNNCAACGACGCCAAAUGAUUGAACUUUGAGUUUCAUGAGGACCACAGAAAAUUUGAGCAUUAUUGAGAUUCUUUCCCAACAUUCAUUAAAAAAAGUCCAUUACGUACAAUUAAAAUCUACACACAUGACUGAAUUGAUUUGGAUCCGCAUGAGUUACUAAUGUCUUAUUUUUAAUCUGUUCAAGCUUGGUUUGGCAUACACUAUGAACAACAUUUUAUGACACGAAGCUUGGCCGAAUUACAAAACUAAUAUUUCCAAAAUAUGUGAAUUUCGCAUGGUAUGCACAAAUUUGUCAUAUAUUUAAUUAUUUUAAAUCAAUUCUUUUAAAUAUUUUAUAUGGUAAAAGAUGUUUUUCAUUUUUAAUUGAUUUAUCAUAGGGAUAUAACUAGGCUUAAUUGAAUAGGAAACCUUCAAAUUAUAUUUUUUGUAUAACAACCCUAUACUCGACUUGACUAUCGAGUCAAAUAUAGGAAUGUCACAAUUGAGUGCCACUAAGAAACCAGUCAGUUCCCAUUUAACUAAACCAGAAUUGAGAUCCAACUAUUUACCAUUCAGCCACUAAGUUUUCCAAGUUUUUCAGUAGAUUCCGUCGAUCUUGCUUUCUCUUUCAAUUAACUCCAACUCUUCCUUAAUUUUUGGACCUUAAUGAAAACCGGGUGUAACACUUGAGGCAUAGCCUCUAAAGGUAACCCUUUAUGUGCAUGAUACUGCUAUCACGCCAUCCAUGUAGACUGGUAAUGUCUAACUUGUUCCUUCAAAACCAACCCCACGUCAUCCAUUGAUCUGCAAUUAAGGCAAAACAUNNNNNNNNNNNNNNNNNNNNNNNNNNNNNNNNNNNNNNNNNNNNNNNNNNNNNNNNNNNNNNNNNNNNNNNNNNNNNNNNNNNNNNNNNNNNNNNNNNNNGUUUCCGAAAAAAUUUUUACACCAUUUCCAGUGUUUGUUUGGGGGAAAAUGAAAUCCUUUAGUAAAACAUUUUCCAAAACACGGUAAAAUCAAACCCAAUCCUCCGAAAAAUGUCUUACGGCUUCAAAAUUGGUAAGACAUUUUCCCUUCUUCUCUAAGUAGACAUUUUCCAUUCUCUUUUAAGCAGCAGACAUUUCUCAUUCCUCAAAGCUUCCGCCUCUCCUCCUCAUCUCUGCCUCGCCAUCUCUGUCUCUUAGCUUCAUCUUCCUUCUCUAUCUCUCUGCUUCAUAGAUAUGUCGGUGAGUCACCCAAAAGCUUCAAGUUUUUAUGAAAUUGGUGAUUUUUGCUGGAUUUUCCAGAAAUUGGAAAAAGGAUGAAAACUCAUUCUCUUCUUCCCUACACCACUCGACCCCCACUUCAUCACUAAAGGGAAGCUUUCCCUUUUAAUUUUCUUGCUAUUUUCACUAUAAAAAUCUCAACAUUUCUACCUUUAAAGCUUCAGUUAGUAGAAGCGAUUGACCCGAUUCAUUUAUUAAGUACAUGAUUAUACAUCUUGCUUAUUUUUGCUGAAUUACAAUGAUAUCGGUAUUUCUGCAACAGGCUUCUUUUGUUUCUUCCUUUUGAUUUCUGAGUUUUUGAUCCACUGCCUUGAGAGAGUGAAUCUUUUUCCUGAAGGUAUGCUUUGGGUUCAUUUAAAAAUGCAUGAAAAAGGCACCGAUGAAAUACCAGUAAAUUCUUGGUGACAGUUUAUAUUACUAGGAUUUGGAUUUGUGUUUCUAGUGUUUGCCCUUUUUUGAGUGGAAUUGUUAUAGCUUUGAUUCCAAUUUUAGAGACCAGAUAAGAAGAGAAAAUGGAGAGAAAAAGAAGAAUAUUUGGUAUUUUUUCUUUCAUGAGAAGUUGUGAAUACACUUGAUAAACAGUGCAUGUUUUAGCUCUUCUCUCAAUUAUAAUAGCUUUUACCUUCAACUACUUCCUUAUACCAUCUUGCUUCGUUGUUUCCUUCUUGCCUACUAGUUUCACGACACUCUUCUUGAUUUCCACUAAAGCAAAAAGAUGGUCAAGCAACCAGUAUGUUUACAUUUAGAGAAAAAGAAAAUCAGGAAUUUCUCCAUUUCAAUUACCCUCCCCUUCUACAAAAUCUGAAUCACAACUGAUUAGGGACCUUGCCUCGGACAGAGUAUCCGACUCCUGGGUGGUUCUGGGCCGCCUGGAGCUUCCUUCACCACCCAUGUCUUUCACCUUCUUUCGCCUACUUUUCUUUGAGUCUUUUGUGGUUGUCUCGGUUGUUUGGCUUGCAUAGAGGAUAGUAAUCGUGUACUUAAUAAGCAUGUAGCAGAUUAGUAGCGUCCCAUGUGGAGAUUUUAGCUUCACCAGUGGUGCACUAAAUAAUCCUUUUUUUUUUCAUGGAGACAGUAGAUUCUUUUAUGUUAAGCAUACUAGCAAAUAGUGUAUUCCAUUGUAAUUCCUCCUAGGCUCCUGCUAAUGAAUGAUAUGGAUGUUUGAGUUAUGCUAAUUGAAUUUCAAAUGCAGUUUAUCCUAAGGUGCUUAAUGUUUGAGAAUGGAUGUUAAGCAAUAUUAUUUGUUUAGUUAUUUCAAGGAUAUCAUACUUUUUUGUAGGGCUAUUGAGCACCCAACUUUUUCAGCACUUAUAAGACCAUUGUGUGAUCUGUAUUCACUUAUUCCUCAUCUUCUAGUUGUAACGCAUAAGAAACUCAGGGUAUGUAGAUGUUUUUGUAGUUUAUGAUAUUCUGAAUGACGUGGGUCUUAUUUACUGGAAUAAAUUGUUAAUGCUUUUAGUCCUUUGCAUUAUAAUUGAUUCCAUGGUUUAGUUUUAGCAUUGAGUUAAUGGAUUAAAAGGAAGUAUUGAGGUGAUUCUCCUUUGCAGUUUAACAUGGGGAAUGAUGUGUUGUCUUUUGGUGAUUUGAAUGUUCAUGGAAGUUGAGUUCUUCUAGUAAUGAGUUUGAGAGCUUUGACGGAGGUAAUAAAGGGAAAGCUGCUGGUUUUUAUGGUGUUGAAGAUUGGGGUGAAACUGGUGGCAUUGAUCCCUUACCUUCUGAUUAUGGAUUAGGCUCAGGAGUUGCAAUGGGCAAGCACUAGGUUUAAAGGCAAUUAGGAUUUUAUUGAUGUGCAUGUAUAAGUUUUUUAGCUAAUGUCUGGUUCAUCAUUUUUUGCUGCAGUGAAAUUUAUGCUAAUGUAUAAGAGACUUUAUGCUUGAGAUUUUGGACUCAUUUUCAUAUGCCAAUUGUUUGUGAAAUGAGUUGGUAACAUGCUGAACAUGUUUAAGAGCAUGUAGGAGACCAUUAGCACAUCUUGAAAUUCUAUUUGUUUGAGUUACUCCAUCACCAAAUUUUGCGUCUUUCAUCCAAAUCCUCAAAUUUGAACCUAAUAAUAUAUUGAUUUCUAAAUGAAUUCCAUUCAAAUUUCCCAUUCAAAUUCCUGAUUAAAUAUAUAAUGAGGGAUUAAUUAAUUAAUUAAUUAAUUAUACGGGAAAGAUAACCUAAUAAUAUAUAACAAAAUCUUGCACAAAUCAAACUCAUGAUUCAACACAUUAGUUACAAUUCUUUCACAAUUUCCUACAAGAAAAUUCAUUUUUCAUGCUUUCAUUUUAAGUGGUACUUUCAAAAAAAUUAUAUAUGUAAAAACAAUUUAUUAAUAUAUAUUAAUAUAUAUUAAUAUAUGUAAAAACAACUUUUUCGGAAAAUAUUUUCAGGAAAUCUGCCAAACAGCAGAAAAUAUUUUACAUAGAUUUACCAAACACCAGAAAAUAUUUUCCAGUAAAUCAUUUUAUAGAAAAGUAAAACAUUUUCCAGAAAUCAUUUUACGGAAAACAUUUUACAGCCAAACAAACAGACAUUUAGUGAAAAUCUACACAACUGGUUUGUAAAUGACUCUUAAAGUCUCGAGUAAUAAUUGAUGCACAAAUUAAAUCUCCCUAGGUAAUAUAGAAGAUCCUGAAAAUUGACUGGUGUAAAUGUCUCCUAUACGUUCUUCUUGAACAAUCAUUGGUGAUAUAUCGGUGGCAGAUUUUAGAUCAGUCAUACGCUUCCUAACGACCCCUUUUGAGACUGAAUAACGCCAAGCUUUGUUUCAACAUCUUACUCUCCCUUGUUGGUUUGUCUCAAUAAAGAUAACCACUAAAGCAGAUGCAUAGAUCUUCAUCUAACUUUGGCAGACUUGCAGUCCUUUCACCAAAAUGGCAUAUUCUUAACUUGAUUCCUUCAUUCCGCGCCUAAUACAAAAUCUACUUACUAUAUUAUCCAUUCAUUUUCUUCUUUAAAACUUAGCUUGUGCGUAUACCAUUUUUAAAGCUAAACCUAUUUGCUUCCAUCUUCUAAUGUGGCCUUCGAAUAUAAGACUAGGCGGAUAUUCAAGCACUACUCUUUUCUUACAGAAUUGCACUUGUAAGAUAGUCCCACUAGACUUUCCUUAUUGUCUAAAUAUAUUUUCCCUAAAUCAGAUAGUCCUAAUGGACUUCCCAGCAAUAGGUAGUCUCCAACGAACUAUCCCAUUGUUGGAUCGUAUAAGGCAGAUUUCCCAUUUAUAAGAUAGUCCUUACUGGACUUCUCAACGUUAGAUAGUCCUAACGGACAUCCUCUUCACUCGCUACUCCUUGGCAGACUUUACAGAACAAUUAGUCUUUGAUAGACAUUCGACGUAAGAUAUUCCUAAGUGGACUUUCCUUUUUUGGCGACUUCUUUUCCAAGAAACACUUAGAAUUAGAAUUUGGAGAAGCGUUUCACUUCUUAUAACCAAUGUUGGUUUGUUUAUUACCUCUGGCGGACUCUUAACGGUGAAUACGUAUUUGCAAAUACACUGAAAGAAAACCUCUUUCCACGCAUAUCUGCAUACAAGAUGCUUUUCUAUAUUCUCCUUGCCUUCGCAUCUUAGUGGAGCCUCUUAUUCGUAGCCUACCAACGCUUCCAUAUGUGCCAUAAUCUUUUAUGACAAACUUUUCAUCAUGCGAAUCAUAUAGUGGUUUUCACAUAAUGAGAUUUUCUAUUUACUGUCCUGUCGGACUUCAUUUUACCAUAUGGGUGAACCUGUCCUUCAAUGGAUCAUGUCAUGGCUAGCCAUGGACUUUCGACUCCGAUGAGUUAGUAAACCAUUUACAUGGUGUUGCUCCGUAGAGCUAGUAAACCAUUUAACCAACCAAACCUCCUCAAAUCCCUUUUUCAAUUCGUCCAUUCCUCAACUACGCCAAUUUUCUUAUCUUCAACUAACCCGUCAAUACUUCUCUUCAUACUCAGUAUUUUAUAAACAUGCAUAUCACUACAAUCAACAUAAUCUAUUCAUACCAUAUCAUGAAGCACACCACAUUUCAAUCAAUACACAAUUAUACUCAGUUAAUAGUAACAUUCUUGCAAUUCUCAUACUUGCACAAACCUAUGCAUUCAUAUAAUCACCAUACAAUCCUAUACAACAACACUCAUACAUAACCAUAGACUUAGACCAAACUCAGUACAGAACAAGCAAGCAACACAACAACCAGUAAACACCCAAAUUUGGAGUACAAAAACUCACCUAUUGUCUUUCAUCCUCGCCAGCUUAGCUUUUCCCAUACCAAAGCUUCUUUCGUCCUGGAAGCUAAGCACAAGAGGUAAAAUUCCAAUUAAAUCGAAGGUAUUCAAGCUUUAAAACACCAAAUUCUGUAAUAUGCAGAAGCUUUUCAGAGAUUUCAGAAAUUCUUACUUCUCUUUUUCUCAAAUCCACGAAUACAAAAAGAUUAAGAAUCUUAACGGCUUAACAGAUUUUCUACUUUCCAGACUCAAACCACGAAUAUAGAGUUUUUCUAAACUUUUUCUUCUUUAGAAUAACCAAAGAAGAUGUACAGAAGAGAAGAAGAAGAACCCUUCACACACACACACAUAUCCUUUUGCGAUUCACCAAAGUCCCAAAUAAACCAUCCAUCGAUAAUCAUUUUAUUUCCCACUAAGGAACUAGUUGGUUCCAGCUUAACUAAACCAGAACUGAGACCUAACUACCUACCAUUCGGCCACUAAAAUUUCCAGAUUUUCAGUAGAGUCCGCUGAACUUACUAUCUCUUUUAAUUAACUCUCAAAUCUUCCUUAACUUUCGAACCUCAAUGAAAAUUGGGUGCAACAAAAGCAGUCACAAAAUAUUGUGUUAGGGUUUCCAAGUUCGGGUUACCAACAACCCUGAUUGUUGGCCUGGCUGUACCCUAAAGUUGAAAUCAAGGGCUGAAACCGAUAAAUGCCUUCCUAUUGAUCAUUCCGACAUUUCUUGAUAGGAUUUUUAUAGCAAUAUUAUGAAACUAUUGCACAACUGUGUGGUUGGACUUUCUACUUCUUGCUCCUGAUACAAAUUUACUAGAACUGUUGUCAAACCCGGAGCACCUUUCUUAACAUAGACAAAAUGGGCAUAUAACUCUAGUAUAACAUUUCCACUAGAGCAAUGCGAAUUGAGCAUCGCAUUGACCUCCAUGUCACCUUUGAGCUCAAAUAUAUUAUAUUUAACAUGGUUCAGUGACAUUAGAUAUAUAUAUUUCAAGCUCAAAAUUCUUCUUCAGCUUGAAGUCGACACUUUUCUUCUAAUUCUUGAUCGAAACUCAUACAAUUUUAUACUCUGGUUGAAAGCCAAUUCUGUAGGUUGGGUAGAUACAAAAACGACCCCAAUUUUGGUGUCACAAAUUUGAUCGUCGUAAUAAAUAACGACUCUAAUUCGUCUACUUAUCUUCAACCAAAUAACUCAUUUUACAUGUUUAAACCAAAGCAUUAUAUAAAAAAUGAGUAUCCAUUAUUCAAAUUAAAACAAUGACACUUACUUAACUAAUGUAUUUUGUUGGGUUGAUUUUUAAAAUUCAUAUUUUAAACAUCAACAAUCUUAUCAUUAUGCAAAUCUCCUUAUGAAAAUAAUCUAUUUAAAAUUUCAGUAUGGAACCUCUACAUAGAAUGCCUUCAUUUUAUAGGAAAUACUACCCCUGGAUAUCAAAUAUAACUUCAAAAUGUUCGAAGAGAUUGGACAUGACAAGUCUUAAAAACGCUUCUUAUUAGAAGUGUUUUCCUGAAAAGUUUUUUAAAAGCGCUUCUUAUUGGAAGUGUUUUUUCUAAAAAAUUCGGAUGUGAUGUCUGAAAUUUAUUCCGGAUUCUUGGGCCCAAAAAUCCCAAGUUUAGGGUUAGAUCCUAACCCUAAUAAGAAAUCCCGUUACAAAAUUUAAGAACUUGAGAAUCCCGAGAUAAUUUUCAAACAUCCCAUCCUGGGAAUCCCAAACAGUCAUGGGUUCCCACAUAAUUCUUUUUAAAAUUUUCCCUAGUUACCUAUAUAAAUAAGGGGUUUUGCUCCCCCUACUCCAUCAGCUCCCUCACUCAUUGUCCAUUAGAAAAAAAUAUAUUUUUUUCUUUUUUUUUAGUUGAGUGUUGAAAUUUUGGGAGGUAAAGUUUGUUUGUGUUAGAGUUUUAGGGAGAACUUGUGAUAGUUUUAAGGUAUGUUUGAGUUUGCGGUGCCGCUCAGAGACUCACACAUUUCAUUUGUCAUGUGGGUAGUGCACGAUCACCUUAGAUAACUAGGGCUUCUAAUUGAUGGUGGUUAUGCGGUCAUAGGUUCAAGUAUAACUCGGGCCCCCAAUUGACGGUGAUUUUGCUGUCAUGGGUUCAAGUUUCAUGCCACCAGAAGAAGAUGCUUUAUAAACCCCAUACAUAACUUUGAGAUCAUAAUCAUAGGAAAAAUGGGCUCACUUGUAUAAUCAACUUAUUCUUUUUCUCCAUCAAAGUAGUAUCCUUAACCUCAUUAUUCAAAAUAUGUGUCAAAUGUGGGGGCAAGAAAACUUUUAGAGGUAGUGACAAAUACGAUGGAGGAAAGCUGAAAAUCGACUCGGGGCGGCAGAGGUUGUUGUGAUUAAAGAACUCGUUGUUGUGAAAGUCUUCUUGCCCCCAUCUCUGACACAAAUUUUGGAUAAUGAGGUUAAGAAUACUACUUUGAUGAAGAAAAAGAAUAAGUUGAUUAUACUAGUGAGCCCUUUUUUUCCUAUGAUUAUGAUCUCAAACCUAUGUAUGGGGUUUAUAAAUCAUCUUUUUUUGGUGGCAUGAAACUUGAACCUGUGACUGAAUAACCACCGUCAAUUAGGGGUUUGAUUAUACUUGAACCCGUGAUCGCAUAACCACCAUCAACUGGGAGCCCUAGUUAUACUUGAAUCCGUGAUCGUAUAACCAUUUUGAACUGGGAGCCCAAGUUGCAAUGCGACAUAUUCUAAGGAAAUUGUGCACUCCCCACACGGGAAAUGAAAUGUGUAGGUCUUCGAGUGUCACCGCAUCAUCAUGAACUCAAACAUACCUUAAAACUAUCACAAUUUCUCUAUAAAACACAAACACAAAUAAAUCUUUCUCCCCAAAUUCUCAACACCUAACACAAAAAAGAACAAUUUUUGGAAGGACGAAAACGCUUCCUGCUGGAAGCAUUUUCAGCAAAUGUGGCAAUCAAAAGGCUAAAAGUGCGUCAUGCAGGAGGCGUUUUCUAUUUCUCUCUCCAAAUUCUACCUAUUUCCUUAAAUUUGGGAAAAAUUGACCUAAAUUAUUAAUUAACUUUUAAAAAUGGCUUUUUUUUUACUAAUUAACCCAAUAGCUUUUACCACAUAGAUUAAUAAGUACGAUUUAAAACAAUAAUUUAAAUGUGAAACCAAUAUUAUUGAUAAUGUACACUCUAAUCGAAAUCACGUUAACAAAAUAAUCUUCUUUCUACAACCAAUUUCUAUGUUUUUUUUUCCUAAUAUAAAAUAUUACUAUGUUAAAUAAACUUAGAAGAUAAUACAGAAAUUUAUUCAUUCAACAAAUGCUAAUCAAAUUUUCAUAAUAAAAAAAAGGGGGGGGAAGAAAUGCUAAUCAAUAUCUGAGCGUGCCGCAAUCAAAACUAGCCUUUCUUAACAGCAUCCCAGGUAAGAAUCUGGAAAGGAAUUUAUCUCAGAGGAAGUUCAUAAUCUUCCCGCUGUUUUGUUGUAUAUAACCCACCAUAGAAGCUGUGCUAACUAGAUCAAUACUUCUCCAUCUUCUCUCUUGAGCAUAAUUUUUCAGCCCCAUUUCAAUCCUUUUGUAUUCCUCUUCUUCAUCAACUAUUUUUCCAUUGUUUUCUUCCCCACCUGGUUUCAGUAACGCUUCAGCAAUACACCUUGCUAGAACAACCCCAUCUUCCAAAGCUGCAUAUCCACCUUGCCCAAGGUCUGGUGUCAUGGGAUGAAGGGCAUCACCAGCUACACAAACGUUGCCUUUGCUUAUAUUGCCCCAUAGAAGCUCCCAAGGUCUUCUGUAUCUUAACGGGGAUGAUGCAAUGGCAUCUAGCUCAGUUUUUCCUACAACAGAUUUCAUCUCAUUGGGUAUAUCUUCAAGCUUGCUCAUUACAAAUUGCUUCAGUUUAACUGGGUCGUCUUCUAAUUCUUCAUCUAAAAAGUAUAACAGUAGAAUUUUAGGGAAGAUGGUACUCGUUGGAUAAAAUGGCAAUGGCAGUAGCAAAGAAAGAAAAAUCGAAUGAAAGAAAAACAAAAGAAAGACUCAGCAAGAAANNNNNNNNNNNNNNNNNNNNNNNNNNNNNNNNNNNNNNNNNNNNNNNNNNNNNNNNNNNNNNNNNNNNNNNNNNNNNNNNNNNNNNNNNNNNNNNNNNNNUGACAGUUACCUACUAACCUUCGCAGCACGUUUUUUCUUUACUAAAAAUAUAGCAACUUGUAUACAAAAGAAAGCUGGCAUACCAGCUAUUACAUCAGUCAAUCUUUCCUACUAACUUAGCUAACUCAUUACAAAGAUUUAGGCUAAGUUCCAUAGGAACAAAAUAUUCAAAAAAUAAUUUUAUAACUGAACCAACUCCAUUUCUUUGCUACAAAACAGUAUAGCAGCUAAAAUUGUACAAUUUGCUGCUGUUGGUCUUUUGACCAAUUUGUUGCUGUUGGUUCUUUGUUGCAAUGCAGGCCACGGCUUCAACAGGUACUCGAUUUAAGCACAAACAGGGAAAAAGAGUGGGGGUUAGGUACC